UAAUAUUCGAAUGAUGAACCGUUGCCGUAGGAUUAGCGUUUCGCGCGCUGUCUAUCUUGAGAUUGUCCACAAAAACCACUGUAUGAUAUUUGCAGUGACAUGGAGCGGUGGAACUUUUGCUAGCCUUGGUUUGUUUGUUUUGCCGGCGUCUUUGCCAGCGUAGUGAAGAAGAAGUGUGGCUUGUUUUGGUCCGAGUGGGCAGUGGUUGUGCAGAUGCCAUGCCAGCCCGUCGCUCUGCUCGGAAGAAACGCCCACACACACACACACACACACACACAAAGACACAGUGCCGUGUAGACGGAGGCCUUGGCGGUAUGUGGCAGAUACCCAGAGCUGCAACCCACUCCAAUGCGCCAAGAAGAAUCCCUCUGUUCAUGAGGUGGACCAUCACGACAGACUAAACAAGGGAAAAGGUCUUUCUCUUGUGUAAUCUGAAAAGAAUGAAAGACUUCCCAUGGCAUAGAUAGACAAUGAAAUAACAAGAAUUCUCUCUGAUAUACAGACUACACAAAUCUGCAAGGCUCCACCAUGUGGUCAAGAUGCAUAAUUGUUGCCAAACAUAACAACUGAUUCCCUGAAAUCGGUCUACAGAACCACAACAGUCUAAGCUGCACUAGGAUGUUUUUUCGAUCUGUGCAGAUUUUUAUAUAAAACAUAUUAUUAUAUUUUUUAAGGUUUUGUCAUUUUUUUUAAUGAAUAUGUCAAUGUUAAAAUGCUUUGUCCUGUCCCAGCUUGAAAUGCAGAGACGUCGGAGCUGUGGUACAGUGGAUUGUGCACAUAAUCGGGAUG